rnacentral:rRNA from 1 species
CACGUAGGGAGGCAAGCGUUGUCCGGAAUCAUUGGGCGUAAAGAGCGCGCAGGCGGCUUGGCAAGUCGGGUGUGAAAUCCCGGGGCUCAACCCCGUGACUGCAUCCGAUACUGUCAGGCUAGAGGUAGGUAGGGGAGAUCGGAAUUCCUGGUGUAGCGGUGAAAUGCGCAGAUAUCAGGAGGAACACCGGUGGCGAAGGCGGUUCUCUGGGCCUUACCUGACGCUGAGGAGCGAAAGCGUGGGGAGCAAACAGG